rnacentral:rRNA from 1 species
UGCGUGAAGUUGGAAUCGCUAGUAAUCGCGGAUCAGCAUGCCGCGGUGAAUACGUUCCCGGGCCUUGUACACACCGCCCGUCACACCAUGAGAGUCGGGAACACCCGAAGUCCGUAGCCUAACCGCAAGGGGGCGCGGCCGAAGGUGGGUUCGAUAAUUGGGGUGAAGUCGUAACAAGGUAAC